AUGCUUGCUGUGGUAGCCCAUAUACUAAAAUAAGAAUAUUAGCAUUACCCCUGUGCAAGGAUGAUGUGCAGAUUUCUCAAGCAUGCCAUGGUUUU
rnacentral:snRNA from 1 species